rnacentral:rRNA from 1 species
GAUGAACGCUGGCGGCGUGCUUAACACAUGCAAGUCGAACGAUGAAGCUCAGCUUGCUGGGUGGAUUAGUGGCGAACGGGUGAGUAACACGUGAGUAACCUGCCCUUAACUCUGGGAUAAGCCUGGGAAACUAGGUCUAAUACCGGAUAGGAGCGCCUACCGCAUGGUGGGUGUUGGAAAGAUUUAUCGGUUUUGGAUGGACUCGCGGCCUAUCAGCUUGUUGGUGGGGUAAUGGCUCACCAAGGCGACGACGGGUAGCCGGCCUGAGAGGGUGACCGGCCACACUGGGACUGAGACACGGCCCAGACUCCUACGGGAGGCAGCAGUGGGGAAUAUUGCACAAUGGGCGAAAGCCUGAUGCAGCGACGCCGCGUGAGGGAUGACGGCCUUCGGGUUGUAAACCUCUUUCAGUAGGGAAGAAGCGAGAGUGACGGUACCUGCAGAAGAAGCACCGGCUAACUACGUG